AAGCAACAAAUGCCCUGCUUCCAGGAAAAGCCUCUAAGCAUCAGGUAACAUCAAAUCGUACCCCAAACCGACACAGGUGGUCAGGUAGAGAAUACCAAGGCGCUUGAGAGAACUCGGGUGAAGGAACUAGGCAAAAUGGUGCCGUAACUUCGGGAGAAGGCACGCUGAUAUGUAGGUGAAGUCCCUCGCGGAUGGAGCUGAAAUCAGUCGAAGAUACCAGCUGGCUGCAACUGUUUAUUAAAAACACAGCACUGUGCAAACACGAAAGUGGACGUAUACGGUGUGACGCCUGCCCGGUGCCGGAAGGUUAAUUGAUGGGGUUAGCGCAAGCGAAGCUCUUGAUCGAAGCCCCGGUAAACGGCGGCCGUAACUAUAACGGUCCUAAGGUAGCGAAAUUCCUUGUCGGGUAAGUUCCGACCUGCACGAAUGGCGUAAUGAUGGCCAGGCUGUCUCCACCCGAGACUCAGUGAAAUUGAACUCGCUGUGAAGAUGCAGUGUACCCGCGGCAAGACGGAAAGACCCCGUGAACCUUUACUAUAGCUUGACACUGAACAUUGAGCCUUGAUGUGUAGGAUAGGUGGGAGGCUUUGAAGUGUGGACGCCAGUCUGCAUGGAGCCGACCUUGAAAUACCACCCUUUAAUGUUUGAUGUUCUAACGUUGACCCGUAAUCCGGGUUGCGGACAGUGUCUGGUGGGUAGUUUGACUGGGGCGGUCUCCUCCUAAAGAGUAACGGAGGAGCACGAAGGUUGGCUAAUCCUGGUCGGACAUCAGGAGGUUAGUGCAAUGGCAUAAGCCAGCUUGACUGCGAGCGUGACGGCGCGAGCAGGUGCGAAAGCAGGUCAUAGUGAUCCGGUGGUUCUGAAUGGAAGGGCCAUCGCUCAACGGAUAAAAGGUACUCCGGGGAUAACAGGCUGAUACCGCCCAAGAGUUCAUAUCGACGGCGGUGUUUGGCACCUCGAUGUCGGCUCAUCACAUCCUGGGGCUGAAGUAGGUCCCAAGGGUAUGGCUGUUCGCCAUUUAAAGUGGUACGCGAGCUGGGUUUAGAACGUCGUGAGACAGUUCGGUCCCUAUCUGCCGUGGGCGCUGGAGAACUGAGGGGGGCUGCUCCUAGUACGAGAGGACCGGAGUGGACGCAUCACUGGUGUUCGGGUUGUCAUGCCAAUGGCACUGCCCGGUAGCUAAAUGCGGAAGAGAUAAGUGCUGAAAGCAUCUAAGCACGAAACUUGCCCCGAGAUGAGUUCUCCCUGACUCCUUGAGAGUCCUGAAGGAACGUUGAAGACGACGACGUUGAUAGGCCGG
rnacentral:rRNA from 1 species